CCUACGGGUGGCAGCAGUGGGGAAUAUUGGACAAUGGGGGCAACCCUGAUCCAGCCAUGCCGCGUGUGUGAAGAAGGCCCUCGGGUUGUAAAGCACUUUCAGUGAGGAAGAACGCCUGGUGGUUAAUACCCAUCAGGAAAGACAUCACUCACAGAAGAAGCACCGGCUGACUCCGUGCCAGCAGCCGCGGUAAUACGGAGGGUGCGAGCGUUAAUCGGAAUUACUGGGCGUAAAGCGCGCGUAGGUGGCUUGAUAAGCCGGUUGUGAAAGCCCCGGGCUCAACCUGGGAACGGCAUCCGGAACUGUCAAGCUAGAGUGCAGGAGAGGAAGGUAGAAUUCCCGGUGUAGCGGUGAAAUGCGUAGAGAUCGGGAGGAAUACCAGUGGCGAAGGCGGCCUUCUGGACUGACACUGACACUGAGGUGCGAAAGCGUGGGUAGCAAACAGGAUUAGAUACCCUUGUAGUC
rnacentral:rRNA from 1 species